rnacentral:rRNA from 1 species
CCCUACGGGGCGCAGCAGGCGCGAAAACUUUACAAUGCGGGCAACCGUGAUAAGGGAACCUCGAGUGCCUGUAAAUGCAGGCUGUUCAGGUGCCUAAAACACACUUGAAGAAAGGGCCGGGCAAGACCAGUGCCAGCCGCCGCGGUAAUACCGGCGGCUCGAGUGGUGGCCGCUUUUAUUGGGCUUAAAGCGUUCGUAGCUGGGUUGUUAAGUCUCUUGGGAAAUCUGGCGGCUUAACCGUCAGGCGUCUAAGGGAUACUGGCAAUCUUGGAACCGGGAGAGGUGAGGGGUACUUCGGGGGUAGGAGUGAAAUCCUGUAAUCCUCGAGGGACCACCUGUGGCGAAGGCGCCUCACCAGAACGGCUUCGACAGUGAGGGACGAAAGCUGGGGGAGCAAACCGGAUUAGAUACCCGGGUAGUCCCAGCCGUAAACUAUGCGCGUUAGGUGUAUCGGUGACCACGAGUUACCGAGGUGCCGAAGGGAAACCGUGAAACGUGCCGCCUGGGAAGUACGGUCGCAAGGCUGAAACUUAAAGGAAUUGGCGGGGGAGCACCACAACAGGUGGAGCCUGCGGUUUAAUUGGACUCAACGCCGGGAAGCUCACCGGAUAAGACA